ACACACUUAGAGUGAGAAUGAUGAAGGGGCAGGAGGGAAAAAUUCGGCUGCAAUCAAAAUGAACCAGCCACGGAGGCUGUACGUGUUUCUCAGAUUUCAAGUAGUUCUAAUCCUGAGGAGUAAGAUGACGCCUAGACUAGUUGUAUUGCCCUUCAUCUCUCCGUUUCUUGGUCACCAGUUGAGUACAAACUCUCUGGUUUUAAAAUGUUAUCUAUGUAAAUUCUUCUGCCACAGCUGGACAAGAUGCAUUCAAGAGUUUUUCUGUUUCCUGUGUGGUGAAGCAGCUUUCCCCUAACGACUAUUUCCCAUCAGUACCACAAAGACCUACCUUCUUAACCACUGUUUCAACGGUUUCUUACCACUUCCACCUUUCUGUAGAACAUUUCAUUUGGAAGGAGAGUCACAAAUACUUGUUCACUGGGCUGUUCAGACUGAUAACGUCUCUUGGGACUUGAACAUUGAUGCACAAUUCUCAUCUGGAAAAAAAAUUCAACUGUCAAACAUUGGCAAAGAAUACCAGAAAUGAAAACAAACUCUUUUCUGUCUUAGUGUCACCAUAAGAUAAUUUGUUUUGCUCUCUUAGAGAAUAAAAUUCUUUACCUUUUUUCUAAAAAUCAAAGUAAAAACAUUUCAUUAUUUGUCUAUUUUGCUUACUUUAGCAAAAAUUUUAAUACAUUUGGAUUCUAAGCAUGUGUUUUACUGAUAAAUGCAUUAAAUUGUUAUUAGAAACUUUAGACCUAAGAAUAGAAAAUCAAAUGAGAUUGACAAACAUGGUAACAUAGGCUUAAUUUUUUAAUAAGGAAUGAGAGAAUUCUAGUACUUUAUUCUAAUACAAUAAAUAAUGUCAAGACUUUUCUUUACAUGUUCAAGAUUUUUCAUCUAAAAAAAGACCCAUGUUAAUUAUUAACUGCAGAAACAAAUUAUAAGUAUUAUGUCUACAUUUCUUAUAAAGAAAUAAUAUCUUAAUAUAGCCUUUAAAAAUCAUAAUUAUUUUACCUGCUCAUUUGUAAAAUACUAAAUGUAUUUGAAUUAUUUUUCAUAAAUUAAGGAAUUAUAAAAGUUUAACUGUCAUUUGUAUAUUAUAUCUUGAUCUUUUCAUUCAUUUUUAUUUUCUGGAUUUAUGGUCUUUGUUCUUAUGGUUUUCAUUCUGUUAUAUGUUUCCAAGAUAUUUUCAAAUAGAGUUUUAACUGAGUGAUGCUAGAUUAGAACAUUUUCUAGUUCAAAAUAUUUGAUGAUUCAAUAACAUAAAUUAUGUUAUGGCUCAAAAUUACCCCUCCCCUCAAUAAGCACACACUGAUAAGCAAUGACAUGUGUGGAAUAAAAAUGACAAGAAAGUAUGGCUCUGUCUCAACAAAAGGCAGAACUGACAGCUAAUGUUUGUUAUUGCUCUAAGCACCAGAAAGUGUGUACUAAAGAAUACUAGGUUUUUAGACUGUGAAUAGGUGUUCCACAUACAACUACAGACAUGCCAAUAUCUACUGGAAUAAAUUGGAUAAUUUCUUGCUGAAAUAAAGUUAAGUUGGUAUCUUUA
ensembl:lncRNA novel transcript